UGGCCGCAUUCUGCACCUGUGAUGGGGCAACCUUGGUUGUGUGUAUGGACUGGGAACGAGAGGUUGGAGAGCAGCAUUGUGAAAAACGAU